rnacentral:rRNA from 1 species
GAUGAACGCUGGCGGCGUGCCUAAUACAUGCCAGUCGAGCGAACAGACGAGGAGCUCGCUCCUCUGACGUUAGCGGCGGACGGGUGAGUAACACGUGGAUAACCUACCUAUAAGACUGGGAUAACUUCGGGAAACCGGAGCUAAUACCGGAUAAUAUAUUGAACCGCAUGGUUCAAUAGUGAAAGACGGUUUUGCUGUCACUUAUAGAUGGAUCCGCGCCGCAUUAGCUAGUUGGUAAGGUAACGGCUUACCAAGGCAACGAUGCGUAGCCGACCUGAGAGGGUGAUCGGCCACACUGGAACUGAGACACGGUCCAGACUCCUACGGGAGGCAGCAGUAGGGAAUCUUCCGCAAUGGGCGAAAGCCUGACGGAGUAACGCCGCGUGAGUGAUGAAGGUCUUCGGAUCGUAAAACUCUGUUAUUAGGGAAGAACAAAUGUGUAAGUAACUAUGCACGUCUUGACGGUACCUAAUCAGAAAGCCACGGCUAACUACGUG